rnacentral:rRNA from 1 species
UCCGGUUGAUCCUGCCGGACCCGACUGCUAUCAGGGUGGGGCUAACCCAUGGAAGUCUAGGAGCCGGGGCUACGGCCGGCUCCGGCGGACGGCUCAGUAGCACGUGGCUAACCUACCCUCGGGAGGGGGAUAACCCCGGGAAACUGGGGCUAAUCCCCCAUAGGCGCAGACUCCUGGAAUGGGUCCGCGCCGAAAAGGCUGCAACGCCAUGCCCGUUGCAGCCGCCCGAGGAUGGGGCUGCGCCCCAUCAGGUAGUUGGCGGGGUAACGGCCCGCCAAGCCGAUAACGGGUGGGGGCCGUGAGAGCGGGAGCCCCGAGAUGGGCACUGAGACAAGGGCCCAGGCCCUACGGGGCGCACCAGGGGCGAAACUUCCGCAAUGCGGGAAACCGUGACGGAGCCACCCUGAGUGCCACCCGAUGAGGGUGGCUUUUGCCCGGUCUAAAAAGCCGGGCGAAUAAGCGGGGGGCAAGCCUGGUGUCAGCCGCCGCGGUAAUACCAGCCCCGCGAGUGGUCGGGACGAUUAUUGGGCCUAAAGCGUCCGUAGCCGGCCCGGCAAGUCCCCCUUUAAAGCCCACGGCUCAACCGUGGGAGCGGGGGGAUACUGUCGGGCUAGGGGGCGGGAGGGGCCGGGGGUACUCCUGGGGUAGGGGCGAA